CCUACGGGAGGCAGCAGUGGGGAAUAUUGCACAAUGGGGGAAACCCUGAUGCAGCGACGCCGCGUGAGUGAAGAAGUAUUUCGGUAUGUAAAGCUCUAUCAGCAGGGAAGAAGAAAGACGGUACCUGACUAAGAAGCCCCGGCUAACUACGUGCCAGCAGCCGCGGUAAUACGUAGGGGGCAAGCGUUAUCCGGAUUUACUGGGUGUAAAGGGAGCGUAGACGGCUGUGCAAGUCUGAAGUGAAAGCCCGGGGCUCAACCGUGGGACUGCUUUGGAAACUGUGGAGCUAGAGUGCUGGAGAGGAAGGUGGAAUUCCUAGUGUAGCGGUGAAAUGCGUAGAUAUUAGGAGGAACACCAGUGGCGAAGGCGGCUUACUGGACAGUAACUGACGUUGAGGCUCGAAAGCGUGGGGAGCAAACAGGAUUAGAUACCCGUGUAGUC
rnacentral:rRNA from 1 species